rnacentral:rRNA from 1 species
GACGAACGCUGGCGGCGUGCCUAAUACAUGCAAGUAGAACGCACAGUUUAUACCGUAGCUUGCUACACCAUAAACUGUGAGUUGCGAACGGGUGAGUAACGCGUAGGUAACCUGCCUGGUAGCGGGGGAUAACUAUUGGAAACGAUAGCUAAUACCGCAUAAUAUUGAUUAUUGCAUGAUAAUUGAUUGAAAGAUGCUAUUGCAUCACUACCAGAUGGACCUGCGUUGUAUUAGCUAGUAGGUGAGGUAACGGCUCACCUAGGCGACGAUACAUAGCCGACCUGAGAGGGUGAUCGGCCACACUGGGACUGAGACACGGCCCAGACUCCUACGGGAGGCAGCAGUAGGGAAUCUUCGGCAAUGGAAGAAAGUCUGACCGAGCAACGCCGAGUGAGUGAAGAAGGGUUUCGGAUCGUAAAGCUCUGUUGUAAGAGAAGAACGGGUGUGAGAGUGGAAAGUUCACACUGUGACGGUAUCUUACCAGAAAGGGACGGCUAACUACGUG